AGCUUUGCGCAGUGGCAGUAUCGUAGCCAAUGAGGUUUAUCCGAGGCGCGAUUAUUGCUUAUUGAAAACAAAUAACUGUAUCGGAACAUCUUCCCUAAUCACCUGAUCUGGCCACAGUGACUUCUUUCUUUACCCGAAGAUAAAGGAAAUAUGGAAAGUAAGAUAUUUUG
rnacentral:snRNA from 1 species